UAGGUGACAGUUCAAAAACAACAAGAGAAAGAACGGAAAGAACGGAACGAACCUCCACAGAGACAGAAACAUAGUGCAGAAAAUUAGGUGACAGUUCAAAAACAACAACAGAAAGAACGGAAAGAACGGAAAGAACCUCCACAGAGACAGAAACAUAGGGCAGAAAAUUAGGUGACAGUUUAAAAGCAACAACAGAAAGAACGGAAAGAACGG
rnacentral:lncRNA from 1 species